rnacentral:rRNA from 1 species
AGUGAACGCUGGCGGUAGGCCUAACACAUGCAAGUCGAACGGCAGCACAGUAAGAGCUUGCUCUUACGGGUGGCGAGUGGCGGACGGGUGAGGAAUACAUCGGAAUCUACUUUUUCGUGGGGGAUAACGUAGGGAAACUUACGCUAAUACCGCAUACGACCUACGGGUGAAAGCAGUGGAUCUUCGGACCUUGCGCGAUUGAAUGAGCGGAUGUGGGAUUAGCUAGUGGGGGGGGUAAAGGCCCACCAAGGCGACGAUCCGUAGCUGGUCUGGGAGGAUGAUCAGCCACACUGGAACUGAGACACGGUCCAGACUCCUAAGGGAGGCAGCAGUGGGGAAUAUUGGACAAUGGGCGCAAGCCUGAUCCAGCCAUACCGCGUGGGUGAAGACGGCCUUCGGGUUGUAAAGCCCUUUUGUUGGGAAAGAAAAGCAGCAGGUUAAUACCACGCUGUUCUGACGGUACCCAAAGAAUAAGCACCGGCUAACUUCGUG